GGCGGUGCGACAAAGUAACCGCGCGGCGGCGAAAUCCAUACCUUUGCAGAAGGAGAGCUUAUUCCCGGCCAACAGGCCAAAACAAUCCGCCGAUGCGGCCAGCCGGACGCUGCUUGCAUGGCGGGGGUAUGUGCAGCGCCCCCGUUUACCCUCAAGGGGUACGAGGCAUCCGUAGGCGGCAUAGCCGCUGACGGCUGCCCUGUCAUGGCUGGUGCCGCCAAGCAGAUAGAACGCGCACCCGACAAAUCCUUCUGUACGGCGGAUGCCCCCAACGGGGCGGAAGG
rnacentral:ncRNA from 1 species